UACGUAGGUGGCGAGCGUUGUCCGGAUUUACUGGGCGUAAAGAGCGCGCAGGCGGUCGUAUAAGUCGCGUGUGAAAGCCCCCGGCUCAACUGGGGAGGGUCACGCGAUACUGUUCGACUCGAAGGCAGGAGAGGGAAGUGGAAUUCCCGGUGUAGUGGUGAAAUGCGUAGAUAUCGGGAGGAACACCAGUGGCGAAGGCGACUUCCUGGCCUGUUCUUGACGCUGAGGCGCGAAAGCUAGGGUCGCAAACGGG
rnacentral:rRNA from 1 species